UUUUAUGGCAGCUGUGCGCGUGCAGGCUUAGGCCUGACCGUGGUGACUCCAACACGGGCUUCUCACCUCGCGCACGGCUGCCACCCCA
rnacentral:antisense_RNA from 17 species